ACGGCUCAGUAACACGUUGAUAACCUACCUUUAGGUUCAGGAUAACCUCGGGAAACUAAGGAUAACACUGAAUAGGAGAUAUAAUCUGUGAUGGUUUGUCUCUUAAAGGUAACGCCUAAAGAUGGGUCAGCGGCAGAUUAGAUAGUUGGUGAGGUAAUGGCUCACCAAGUCGAGGAUCUGUACGGGCUUUGAGAGAAGUUGCCCGGAGAGGGACACUGAGACACUGGUCCCAGCCCCACGGGGUGCAGCAGGCGCGAAAACUUUACAAUGCACGAAAGUGUGAUAAGGGAAUCCCGAGUGCUUACGUCUCUACGUAGGCUUUUGCCAAGAGUAAAUACCUUGGCGAAUAAGUGGUGGGAAAGACCGGUGCCAGCAGCCGCGGUAACACCGGCGCCACUAGUGGGAGCCACGUUUAUUUGGCCUAAAGCGUCCGUAGCCGGCUUAAUAACUCUUUUGUGAAAUCACUGCGCUUAACGUAGUGGCGUGCAGAAGAAACUGUUAGGCUUGAGACCGGAAGGAGUUAGAAGAAUUCUUGGGGGAGCGGUAAAAUGCUAUAAUCCCAAGAGGACUACCUGUGGCGAAGGCGUCUAACUAGCACGGUUCUGACGGUGAGGGACGAAAGCCAGGGGAGCGAUCCGGAUUAGAUACCCGAGUAGUCCUGGCCGUAAACGCUGUGGGCUAGAUGUUGCACAUUCCACGAGAAUGCGCAGUAUCGGAGCGAAGGCGUUAAGCCCACCGCCUGGGAAGUACGGUCGCAAGGCUGAAACUUAAAGGAAUUGGCGGGGGAGCAC
rnacentral:rRNA from 1 species